AAUAGCGUAUUCGUUUGACGUUAGCGACAGAAGAAGCACCGGCUAACUCUGUGCCAGCAGCCGCGGUAAUACGGAGGGUGCGAGCGUUAAUCGGAAUUACUGGGCGUAAAGACGCAUGCAGGUGGUUUGUUAAGUCAGAUGUGAAAGACCCGGGGCGUCAACCUCGGAAUAGCAUUUGUAAACUAGGCAGACUAGAGUACUGUAGAGGGGGGUAGGAAUUUCAGGUGUAGCGGUGAAAUAGCGUAGAGAUCUGAAGGAAUACCGGUGGCGAAGGCGGCCCCCUCGGACAGAUACUGACACUCAGAUGCGAAAGCGUGGGGAGCAAACAGGAUUAGAUACCCUGGUAG
rnacentral:rRNA from 1 species